AAGCACUCUACGACUGAGCCACAUCCCCAC
rnacentral:piRNA from 1 species